rnacentral:rRNA from 1 species
UACAGAGGAGCCAAGCGUUGUCCGGAUUGACUGGGCGUAAAGCGCACGCAGGCGGUUGCGCGCGUGGGGUGUGAAAUCUGGCCGCUUAACGGCCAGGCGCCAUCCCAUACGGCGCGACUGGAGUGAUGCAGAGGUCGAUGGAAUUGCCGGUGUAGUGGUGAAAUGCGUAGAGAUCGGCAGGAACACCCAGGGGGGAAACCAGUCGACUGGGCAUCUACUGACGCUGAGGUGCGAGAGCGUGGGGAGCGAACCGGG